AUCAGAAUGUUUCCAAUCUAUUCUCUUAUCAGAAUGCUUCGAUAAUAAUGAAAAUUUCGGGUACGCCAAUAAAUCUGCCGCAUGCACAAUGAUACACCUCAUACAUACGAAGCAUCAAAAAAUGUGUCUAAAGAAGUUUACUAAAACAAUCCAACAACAGCAGGUAUCAAAGUAAAACUAUAACUAUAUAUUAUAACAACACUAUAUAUAAUCAUCUCAACUCUAAUCCUCAAAAUGAUACACAUCACUUACGUUUGCUAGACCUCAAAACUCUGUAUAGGCUGCUAUAUAUAUACACUAUUGGGUGUUCCAACUACACACACAAGAAAGGUAGGAGUUGCUACCUAUCUGCAAUCCCCUUACCUCGACCAGUUGUUGCUAUUGAGGGCUUGUGACGCCCCAACUUCUUAGGGGAUCACCCAUCCUAGGACUACUACCGUCCUAGAACGCUUAACUCUUUUUAUCUCUUGGGCCUAACCACCGCCCAAAAUGCUUAAAUCGGGUUAAGAGUUUUAGUCUUAUUAUAUUUUAUAUAUAGCACUAUAUGGGAUCUUAUAUUCUGUAACGCACUGGACCUUUGCAAAUUGCGAGGUUCGAGUGAUUGGUUGUGUUCUGAGUUUUUUCAGAUUUUUCUGGUGGG
rnacentral:lncRNA from 1 species